AGUCUUGUUGAAGUAGUAGAAGAUGAGGGCUGGUAGGGUGAGCACGUACAAAAAGUCGGCCAGAGCCAAAUUGAACAUGUACACGGAGAUGCCGCUCCAAGGCUUCAUGUGGAAAACGAACAUCCAGAUAGCCACGCUAUUGCCUAGGAAGCCUAUGAUGAACACUAAAAUGUAGACGGCCGGCAGGUAGUAGAACUGGAAACCAGUCUUGGUCAGGGCACAUUGGAAUGAAGAGGAAACUGCUGCAGUUGAGGCUACAGUACUGUUUCUCCAAAGCGAGCCCAGGCCAGUCAGGAAGGCAGCAUCCGUCCCGUUGGGGACAGCCGACCAAGGCACCUCGGUCAUCCUCUUCUUUCCAACUCAGGCAGCUACUAGGAAAGGCAGACCGCGGCGAGCCGGCAGCAGCGGCGAGAGACUCAGAGCGCAUCGGAGGCGCCGGCCAGGGGCAGGGACCGCGCGCGGGAGUUCCCCACGGGUCGGAGCGCGCAGGGGCUCGCCCACGCCGGCUCUGGCCGCGCGUUUGUCGCGGGCCAUGAAAUUCGCCCGGAGCUGCGACCGAUCCAAGCUGAAGGACGGGCGCGCAACUUCCCGGUCCAGCUGGCCGCGCUGAGGUUACACAACAGGACGCGCAGGGCACCUCCACCAAGUUUGCAAGUGCGCUCCCGCGCAGGGCGACUGAUAGGCGCUGCUCAGAGCGCCUGGGGCGCGGCGGGUCAAGUCCAAGCAGUUCGGCGGUUCCCAGCGGCCCGAGGGCGCAGGCCAACCACCUCCUCUCUGUGAUCAACUUUGCCUGGCCAUCUGCCUACUCCCUACCUUACAACCCGGGACCUUCACCGGGGACGCCGCGACUCUUCUUCCGACCGCAUUCUGAGCCCGCGCUCAACCUUGGAGGUCUUUGGGAGAGCGCGUGGCCUCGGACCCUGGCGUACUACCUACCCUGUACCCCGCUCGCAGUCCAUGAAGGCUGCAGCUGGUCUCGGCGCUCGGCUGGGUCUCGAGUGCAGGGGGCAGGAGAGAGAGCCAGGCUCCCAGCGGGGUGGGCGGAGCCUGGGAGCCCGGGCGAGUCCGUGCACCGCGGGGAAGCAAGGGGCGUGUCUCCGCCGUGCAGGCUUGGGGCCGCCCGCUCAGGGCUGGACGCCCAAGGCGGGAGGUGGCCUCUGGAAGCAGAGAUCGCGGUGCCCCUGCACGCCUGGCACGGCCGCCACCACUCGAAUCAGUGGUCAGAACAAAAGGUGCUCUAGGGCAGCGGUGGCUUCUGGCCAGCGUAUGGCUGGAGGGGUUUCCUCGGUCAUCCACCGGCUAGCUCUGUAAAGUGAAGUUGCUGACACACUGAAAACCUUCUGGACGCUGGCAGCGUUCUGUCUAAAGCUUUGAGCUGAGCAGUCUGAGACAGACAUCUCCAGAGCCUCCCCGGAACUCGCAAGGUGUUUGCAGGCUCCAGACAACCAGCGGUUUGCAGGUGGGCACGCCCUGGCCCUGCACAGCGCCUUGCUUUGCCCAACGCGUGUAGGAACCUGCUGAUCCCAGAGGGUGCCAGCUCUGAAUGAGUGAGGGUGGUAAGCGGCAUGGGCAAGUCGCUUUCUGCCCUUCAUGUCUGUUUGUUUUUAUUGUUGUUUGCUUUAUUACUACUCCAAAUACUAUUUUUUGCACUACUUAGAAAAAUGCUAAUACUCCAGCAUCACUGGUAACAUUAUUGUGAGAAUGUACAUAAGAGCCUGGUCUAACUACUUAGUUAAUGCAGCACACAUCAUCAGUCCAACUUGACUGCUAACACUUGCUGGAAAGAACAAGUGCCCUCCGUCAAACCUCCAGUUGCCAUUUACAUACAUUUAAAUAAUAGAGACUACAGUGAAAGUGAUUCAGAAUCAGGCUGAAUAUUAAACAUGGCUUUAUAAAGAAAGAGGGUUCAUUUGUUGAGUGAUAACUUUACAGUUUGGCUACUAGAGGAACUGACAUUUUAAUUUUAUUUCUUACAAUGUCUGUUCCUCUAGUAGAUACCUUUUAAAUGUAGACAGAGACCAAUGUAAUUAUUUUAUUUAUUGUAAAUCUUAGUCUAGGGCUCCAAGUGCAUAAAAAAAUGUGGUCAAUAUAUUCCAAAAAAUGUGUUUAUAUUUAAUUGUAAACUAAAUGGAUUGUUUCCUACCUGAAGACAUAAUUAAACAGACCCACCCAAGAAGGGAACC
rnacentral:lncRNA from 1 species